AUGCAUCUCUGACUGACCUGGAGCAGUUAAUGUUUGCUGCUAAGGUUCCACUACAGAUGCAAGAAGAAGAAGGUCCUUCUGCUUUCUGUCUGUCUGGUUUUGACAGCCAAGACUGAAUGGGGGAAUACAGGA
rnacentral:snoRNA from 1 species